rnacentral:lncRNA from 1 species
UAGUAUGGUGUUUUAUCAUAUAUUUAGUACAAAAUACAGCUAUUUUGUAUAUCUAAUAAAGGUUGUUUUUCCAGUCUGUAUCACCUACCCUGUAUCGCAUACCCCGUAUCGCAUAGCUAAACCCGUAUCGCAUACCCCGUAUCGCAUGGUAAAACCCGUAUCGCAUACCUUUUUUUUUUUUUUUUUUUUUUUUUUUUUUACAUAAAGUUUUUGUUUUUUUUUGCUUAAGAAAAAAUUUCCUCAAAAUAGGUCACUUUUUUUAAUGACGUCAUUGUUUGGUAUGUAACGUCACGAACGUCAAGUUUUCAUAUUGUAUGUGACGUCACGAACAUCAAGUUUGCAUAUUUUUUGGCACACUAAAUGCAACUAUAAAAAA